GACGAACGCUGGCGGCGUGCCUAACACAUGCAAGUCGAACGAAGUAAGUUGCUUCACCAAGUGUUGAAUAGCUACCCCCAAGCGCAUUUGCCAAAGGGUAAGCAAAAAGUACUAUCAAUUAAAUAAAAUGGUGAAACAAAAGAAUAGCGAAGAAGAAGCAAAUGCGCUUCACGCUAAUUCCAAGUACCAACACAAAACAAAUUCAAUGUUUGGUGAAGCAACUUGCUUAGUGGCGGACGGGUGAGUAACGCGUGAACAAUCUGCCCCGUACAAAGGGAUAGCCUCGGGAAACCGGGAUUAAAACCCAUAUAACACUUAACUGCCGCAUGGUAGUGAAGUCAAAUCGAUUAAGAGGUAUGGGAUGAGUUCGCGUCUGAUUAGCUAGUUGGUGAGGUAAGGGCUCACCAAGGCGACGAUCAGUAGCCGGCCUGAGAGGGUGAACGGCCGACACUGGAACUGAGACACGGUCCAGACUCCUACGGGAGGCGAGCAGUGGGGAAUAUUGCACAAU
rnacentral:rRNA from 1 species